UUGGCCUCGAAUCAGGUAGGGAUACCCGCUGAACUUAAGCAUAUCAAUAAGCGGAGGAAAAGAAACCAACAGGGAUUGCCUUAGUAACUGCGAGUGAAGCGGCAAGAGCUCAAAUUUGAAAUCUGGCGCCUUUGGCGUCCGAGUUGUAAUUUGGAGAGGCAUCUUCGGGUGCGGCGCCGGCCUAAGUUCCUUGGAACAGGACGUCAUAGAGGGUGAGAAUCCCGUUCUCGGCUGGCUGUCCGCGUCCAUGUGAAGUGUCUUCGACGAGUCGAGUUGUUUGGGAAUGCAGCUCAAAAUGGGGGGGUAAACUCCAUCUAAAGCUAAAUACUGGGCGAGAGACCGGAUAGCGCACAAGUAGAGUGAUCGAAAAGAUGAAAAGGCACUUUUGAAAGGAGAGUUAUAAAGUACCGUGGAAUUGUUUGGAAAGGAGCGCUGAGACCAGACUCGGCGGAAGUAUCAUCGUCCGUCCUGUGCAGACGUUGACUCUCGUCGGCCCAGGCAUCGGGAUGAC
rnacentral:rRNA from 1 species